GACACUGGCGGUUGGUGCUCCUGGCUCCCAGGACGGGGUUCAAGUCCCUGCGGUGCC
rfam:Anolis carolinensis chromosome 3, whole genome shotgun sequence.